AAUUAGUAUAGUGUCUGUGUGUUUAUUUGGGACUGAAGCAGCAGCAGGACCUGGCAGAAAGAACUCCAGCUACAGUAGUGUUCCGAUUUCAGCUGGGUAGUUUACCUUUGCCAGCCACCUGGUGUUCUGGGGACAUGGGCUCUGUGAAUGACAGAAUGGUAAUGCUGGGCUUUCCGUGACUUGAGGCAGGGAGAAGAGAGUCAUGAGUAGACCCAUGUGUCUCUUGUGUCUCUCACACUCCAGUUUGGUGUGCUCUGUCUCAGGUGGGAAACCCAGCUGGGAUAGAAACGUCUUCCAUGUUCUAUGUGGUCCCUAGAGCCACAAGCUGCAUUAGAUCGAGUCAAGGAAUGGACUGCGGGCUAGAAGGGAUCUGCUUAGGGCUUUGGAAGCUCCGUGGAAAGCCAAAUAGUGAGGUGACUUCACCGUGGAAUAUGCUAAAGAGAAACCCAUGAGGUUGAUAUCCCCUGAGCCCGUCUUCCCAGUCUUCCCCUGAUGGCCACCCCAGGACAAGGGGCCCAUGGAGAACAUCUUAUUAAUUUCCAACUGCGUUUUGCUCUAUUGUGUAGUAUUUCAGUGACAGAAUCCACUCAGGAGAGUUGGGGCAAGGCUGGCCAAGGUUAUGAAGGAGCUGAGUUCUGAGUUCAGGUAUCCACAUGGCAGUGGAAUGAUGCCUCCUGUCCCUUCAGACCUUUGAGACGUCUGGGAGGUCCUAGAAAUCACUUCAAGUCUCCAGUCCAGGACACAACUGCCUAGGGGAAUCCCAGGGACAGGCGGCAGAGAUUGUAUGGCCUGCAAGGUGAUGGACUCCAUUGUGAUCACUGAAGAAUCCACCAAAUUCUAAACCACUGGCAGUUUGAGUGCACAAACCCCCUUCUGGAGAGGAGGCCAGAGAAGCAAUCCAGGAGACCCACUACUUGGCUAGAGAGUUGACGGACCACUUCUCAGGUUUCCUGGAAGUCAAUGAAACAUGGCGAGGAAAGUGUCAUUGAUCAUAGGAUGGAAUCAAGAAGCUCGCAGAAUGAAACUAUACCUGAAAUACUUCAGACUGAAGUCCUGGGACGCCAGUUCUGAAUCCAAUUGUCCCUCCCUCCUUCCCUUCCUCCGUCCCUCCGUCCCUCCCCUCCCUGUGUUUCUCUUUUCUUGACUCAGGGAAUUGUAAACAGGAACUCUUUAAUAGGUAUAAUUUUGUCUUCAAAUUAUCUGUGUUUAUGACAUGUUACUAAAGACUUAGGAGAGUCCUACCAGAGUCACUGCAUGCCACCUGGGGAAUCAGAGUCAGCUUGUGGAGCUCUUAAGACCCAUUAAUAAAAAUAAUAUAAAAACCGACACCAAAGAAGUUUAAGGGCAUUUGUUAUUGCAUUAAACACACACACACACACACACACACACACACACACGCACACAUGCACGCACGCACGCACGCACGCACACACACGAGAAGGCAAACUAAAUCUCAGCAGCUGCCCAGAGGCAGAAGAUGGAGGAGACAAUGCAGCCCUGCCGCUUAAGUUAAGGCAACAUGAAGGUCAGCCAUAUGGCAAAGAAGCAGCCACAUGGGUCAGGGUGGGAGGGCAGAGGGGGUAGGGCUUUAAAGAAAGAGUGAAGGCUGAAGUGCUCAGGAAUGAAAUGGAGAGAAGAGAAGAGUCCGGUUUUCUGAGGAGUUGAGAAAGGCAGGCACUCUUCCCAAGUUGCUGGGCUACAGCUUUAUGAGGGAUUGCAAUAGAGAGGGGGAUUCUGGAGAGGAAAACACAUUAUUAUCUCAUUAAAGGGCUAAUUAUUCCUCUUAUCCCUCUAAAGAGUUAAGGUGUCCCUACCUUCCCAAGGAAUGGUCCUGUAGCCUGGUGAUUGACCUGCCCAGCUAGGAUGUUGAGUAUCUACCCAAGUUACUUUCUGGUCUUAAGGAAAUAGUUUCCCCUUAAUUGGCCUCUGCUGCCACUGAAAACAUAAUACUCUGUUCCUGGAGAGUUCCUGAUCUGAGGUAUCAGGCUAGGUAGUAAAUGGGGCCAUAUGGUUGGAUUAGCGUCAUUCUUAUCUUUAGGUUAAAAAUUCACGUCUUUUCUGUUUUCUCAAGUUUGGAUUCAGAUGAUGGCAUACAGGAGCCACGUUGCUUAGCUACCAAAGACUUCUCUAACUGUGGCACCAGCAAUACUUAAAACACAGUCAAGCGUGUGUUACACCAGGGGCUGGUGAGAAUUGUUUGGCAUGAAUGUUGAACUACAAAGAAACAUACAUCUCACAGUCUGAGAUUUAGGUUCUCUCUGAUCCUGCAGCUGCAACAGUAGACAAUGUUUUAAAUAUCAAAAGUGGCUUUCAAUGGCUUUGAAUCUCUUGGGCAAUUUUGGGUGAUUUUGCACGGUCACUUUCUUAGGUCAAGUAGGACCUUCCCAACUGCGUCAUUCAGGCCUCUGUGGACCUUGGAAGAGCUAAAGAAAGGGCAGGCUUCUUCAGUGGAGUUUGCAAGGGGGGCUGUUUCUGUGUCUGUGCUGUAACUAUGUCUGCCUUACAAUAAAAUACCUUGGUUGACUCAGCAAUAAAGUCUUUGUUGAAUUCCU